rnacentral:rRNA from 1 species
GACGAACGCUGGCGGCGUGCUUAACACAUGCAAGUCGAACGGAAAGGCCCUGCUUUUGUGGGGUGCUCGAGUGGCGAACGGGUGAGUAACACGUGAGUAACCUGCCCUUGACUUUGGGAUAACUUUAGGAAACUGGGGCUAAUACCGGAUAGGAGCUCCUGUUGCAUGGUGGGGGUUGGAAAGUUUCGGCGAGUGGGGAUGAACUCGCGGCUUAUUAGCUUGUUUGUGGGGUAGUGGCUUACCAAGGCUUUGCCGGGUAGCUGGACUGUUGGGGUGACCGGCAUCCAUAGAACUGUGAUACGACCGAGUAUCGAUUGUAAGGCAAUAGUGGUGAAUAUUGCCCAGAAGGGCGGAGCGUGAUACAGAACCGCUAGGGUCGGGAGGAGGGCCAUCGGGGUGAAAACCGCUUUCGUUUGUGACCAAGCUUGAGUGACGGUAAUGAGUGAGAAAAAACCGGCUAACUACAUG